UGAGUUGACCAGACAAUCGCCGCUUGAACUUUAUGUUUGGGGGGAGGAAAGUCCGGGCUCCAUAGGGUAAGGUGCCAGAUAACGUCUGGGCGGCGUGAGCCGACGACUAGUGCAGCAGAGAGAAGACCGCCUUUUAUAACCUUUGGUAAUAAAAAGGUAAGGGUGAAAGGGUGCGGUAAGAGCGCACCGCGUUGCUGGUAACAGUAAUGGCAAGGUAAACUCCACCUGGAGCAAGACCAAAUAGGUUCCCUAAUGGCGCGACCCGCGUUGGGAACGGGUAGGUUGCUUGAGCUAUUGAGCGAUUGAUAGCCUAGACGAAUGAUUGUCAUUUCCGUAAGGAAAUACAGAACCCGGCUUAUGUGGUCAACUCAGACU
rnacentral:RNase_P_RNA from 1 species